GAUGAACGCUGACAGAAUGCUUAACACAUGCAAGUCUUUGGCGAAUCUGUGCUUGCACAGGCUAGCCAAGGCGGACGGGUGAGUAACGCGUAAAGAACUUGCCCUGCAGACAGGGAUAACAGACGGAAACGACUGAUAACACCUGAUACAGUUGCCGGCACGCAUGUGCCUGGCAAUGAAAAGAGAUGCUGCAGGAGAGCUUUGCGUCCUAUUAGCUUGUUGGUGAGGUGACGGCUCACCAAGGCGAUGAUAGGUAGCCGGCCUGAGAGGGUGAACGGCCACAAGGGGACUGAGAUACGGCCCUUACUCCUACGGGAGGCAGCAGUGGGGAAUAUUGGACAAUGGGGGCAACCCUGAUCCAGCAAUUCUGUGUGCACGAAGAAGGUUUUCGGAUUGUAAAGUGCUUUCAGCAGGGAAGAAGAAAGUGACGGUACCGGCAGAAGAAGCGACGGCUAAAUACGU
rnacentral:rRNA from 1 species